AUUGUCUCAAAGAGAGGCCGGAUUCAACGUCAAUGUGGCCAUGGGAGUGGGGAGUAUAAGAAGAUAAAAAACGGAGAAAGAUGAAGGACAAAGAGAGGAACACUAUAAUUGAAUACGAUGAAAGGAAAAACGCAACUAA